GACGAACGCUGGCGGCGUGCUUAACACAUGCAAGUCGAACGGAGAGGCUCCAGCUUGCUGGAGUACUCGAGUGGCGAACGGGUGAGUAACACGUGGGUAAUCUGCCCUGCACUCUGGGAUAAGCCUGGGAAACUGGGUCUAAUACUGGAUAUGACCUUUCUCCCUAUGGGGUUUGGUGGAAAGUUUUUCGGUGUAGAAUGAGCCCGCGGCCUAUUAGCUGGUUGGUGGGGUGAUGGCUUACCAAGGCGGCGACGGGUAGCCGGCCUGGGAGGGGGAUCGGCCACAUUGGGACUGAGAUACGGCCCAGACUCCUACGGGAGGCAGCAGUGGGGAAUAUUGCACAAUGGGCGGAAGCCUGAUGCAGCGACGCCGCGUGAGGGAUGACGGCCUUCGGGUUGUAAACCUCUUUCAGCAGGGACGAAGCGUAAGUGACGGUACCUGCAGAAGAAGCACCAGCUAACUACGUGCCAGCAGCCGCAGUAA
rnacentral:rRNA from 1 species